rnacentral:rRNA from 1 species
ACGGGGUGCAGCAGGCGCGAAACCUCCACAAUGCACGCAAGUGCGAUGGGGCUACCCAAAGUGCUCCACACGGAGCUGUGGUGGAUGAGUAAUGUUCUCCGCUAGAAAGGAGAGGGCAAGGCUGGUGCCAGCCGCCGCGGUAAAACCAGCUCUUCAAGUGGUCGGGAUAAUUAUUGGGCUUAAAGUGUCCGUAGCUGGUAGAGUAAGUUCCUGGUAAAAUUGGGCAGCUUAACUGUCCUUAUGCUAGGGAUACUGCUCUACUAGAGGGCGGGAGAAGUCUGAGGUACUACAGGGGUAGGGG